CAAUUUGGAACGCAAGUAGAUGCACAUGAUCUCAAACUGAGAUAGGGUACAGCUGUAUCAUCAUCUUCAUAUGUGAGCACUUCAUCUUCUAAAAGUUCCAAAAAAUAAAACUCCUCUAAAUGAAUGAAUACGACUGACGACCACGCCACCACGACGGCGACGACGUCACCGACGACGGCCUACCGCCACCACCGCUUGGUCCGCUGCAACUUGAAAUCGAAACCCUAGGUCUCAAAUCGGCAUCGCCAUUACGGUUACAAUUUUUGUUACGAUCUCCGUUAGGCUAGUAGGUUAGAGAUGGUGAUGAUGCUGCUUGUGCCGCCGGCAACGGUGCUAGGGGGUUGUUUGUGCCGGUGGGGGUUUGAGAAUGCGGUUCUUGUUUUUUUUUUUUUUUCAGUUUUUGUAAGUGUAGAAAACAAGGAAAAACAAAACCUAAUAUCGGUAUUCUAAAUGUACAGAUAUAUAACGUGAUAAAAACCAAAGAGAAUUAGGGAUAAAA